CUCGUGUCGUGAGAUGUUGGUUAAGUCCGCAACGAGCGCAACCCCUACUUGUUAGUUGCCAUCAUUCAGUUGGGCACUCUAGCGAGACUGCCGGUAAUAAACCGGAGGAAGGUGGGGAUGACGUCAAAUCAUCAUGCCCCUUAUGACCUGGGCUACACACGUGCUACAAUGGUUGGUACAACGAGUUGCGAGUCGGUGACGGCGAGCUAAUCUCUUAAAGCCAAUCUCAGUUCGGAUUGUAGGCUGCAACUCGCCUACAUGAAGUCGGAAUCGCUAGUAAUCGCGGAUCAGCACGCCGCGGUGAAUACGUUCCCGGGCCUU
rnacentral:rRNA from 1 species